rnacentral:rRNA from 1 species
AGAGUUUGAUCCUGGCUCAGGAUGAACGCUGGCGGCGUGCCUAACACAUGCAAGUCGAACGGAUCCAUAUUGAAACCUAGUGAUGUAUGGAUUAGUGGCGGACGGGUGAGUAACGCGUGGAUAACCUGCCGUAUACAGGGGGAUAACACUUAGAAAUAGGUGCUAAUACCGCAUAAGCGCACGGUUCCGCAUGGAACAGUGUGAAAAACUCCGGUGGUAUACGAUGGAUCCGCGUCUGAUUAGCCAGUUGGCGGGGUAACGGCCCACCAAAGCGACGAUCAGUAGCCGGCCUGAGAGGGUGAACGGCCACAUUGGGACUGAGACACGGCCCAAACUCCUACGGGAGGCAGCAGUGGGGAAUAUUGCACAAUGGGGGAAACCCUGAUGCAGCGACGCCGCGUGAGUGAAGAAGUAUUUCGGUACGUAAAGCUCUAUCAGCAGGGAAGAAAAACCGGCCUUAGGGCCGCCAGACGGUACCUGACUAAGAAGCCCCGGCUAACUACGUG